rnacentral:rRNA from 1 species
GUAGGUGGCAAGCGUUGUCCGGGAAUUAUUGGGGCGUAAAGCGCGCGCAGGCGGUUCUUUAAGUCUGAUGUGAAAGCCCACGGGCUCAACCGUGGUGGGUCAUUGGAAACUGGAGAACUUGAGUACAGAAGAGGAAAGCGGAAUUCCACGUGUAGCGGUGAAAUGCGUAGAGAUGUGGAGGAACACCAGUGGCGAAGGCGGCUUUCUGGUCUGUAACUGACGCUGAGGCGCGAAAGCGUGGGGAGCAGACAGGAUUAGAUACCCUGGUAGUCCACGCCGUAAACGAUGAGUGCUAAGUGUUAGGGGGUUUCCGCCCCUUAGUGCUGCAGCUAACGCAUUAAGCACUCCGCCUGGGGAGUACGGCCGCAAAGGCUG